UACGUAGGGUGCAAGCGUUGUCCGGAAUUAUUGGGCGUAAAGAGCUCGUAGGCGGUCUGUCGCGUCUGCUGUGAAAGCUCAGGGCUUAACCCUGAGCUUGCAGUGGGUACGGGCAGACUAGAGUGCGGUAGGGGAGACUGGAAUUCCUGGUGUAGCGGUGAAAUGCGCAGAUAUCAGGAGGAACACCGGUGGCGAAGGCGGGUCUCUGGGCCGUAACUGACGCUGAGGAGCGAAAGCAUGGGGAGCGAACAGG
rnacentral:rRNA from 1 species